CUAGUUUUUCAUUCAAAUUUAAAUAAUUGUUAAAAUCCCAAUCAGAACCCAUGGCUCACUAAUUCUAGUAGCAAUCUGACGGAUGAUAUCCCAAAGAAGCUUUCUAAUAGUAGGAGUAGGAUUACCAUACAGCAAUAUAAACAUUUAAAGAAGUCCCCUCACCCCAACUGAAGUGCACAAAUUGAGAAUUAGAUUCUAAAGUUUGCAACCGGACAAUAUUCUCAUUUCACAUCACUCAGAUUCCAUCAGAGAAGCCACAAGCCUCUUCUCUAAAGGAAUUAGAGAACCCUAACUUUCUAAUCACAUAUAAUGCUUUAUCUCCACUAAUUCUCAGCUCGAGAAUAAUACAAAUCAAAGAAUUAUAUUGACAAAUGAAUUUGAGCAUAACGACCAAUAAUUUCUUAUUGCCAGCUCCCUAGUAGUUCCAAGCGAACAUAAACAUAAAUAAUGGGGAAAGAAGAGCCCGUCACAAAUAGCUAAUUUAGCUGAACACCUUCAUCAUUAGAUCUUGAUGUAGAAAUCUAAUUUCCACUAAUAGCAACAUGAGCCUCCUCUGUUGAGAUCUUUUGCUUCCGAGGCGCACCCCUCUCAUCAUCUGGGAGUUUAAAUUUCUUACUCACAGAAACAAUCCUACCCCUCUUCUUGUUCGAAUCAAGAGGUCUUAUAGAGCUGAAAAUAAAUAACGAGUCAUUAAACACCAAAAAUAUGUUAGGGGGACCAUUAGUGUUGCUAAAGGACAAAAAGGUGCCAUAAACAAAAGGUUAUAGGCCUGGGUAGAAGAAGCAACCUGAUGAGAUUUAGACAUGAUGGUCAUGGGCUUAGGAGUAAUGCUAGAUGGAUUAGGUAGAGAAGAAGGCUUGAUUUUUAGGCUUAGGUGAUCUUGCUUUUGUCCAAUUGAGCUUAC
rnacentral:lncRNA from 1 species